GACGAACGCUGGCGGCGUGCUUAACACAUGCAAGUCGAACGGAAAGGCCUCUUUCGGGGGGUACUCGAGUGGCGAACGGGUGAGUAACACGUGAGUAACCUGCCCUUGACUUUGGGAUAACUUCAGGAAACUGGGGCUAAUACCGGCUAGGAGCUCCUGCUGCAUGGUGGGGGUUGGAAAGUUUCGGCGGUUGGGGAUGGACUCGCGGCUUAUCAGCUUGUUGGUGGGGUAGUGGCUUACCAAGGCUUUGACGGGUAGCCGGCCUGAGAGGGUGACCGGCCACAUUGGGACUGAGAUACGGCCCAGACUCCUACGGGAGGCAGCAGUGGGGAAUAUUGCACAAUGGGUGGAAGCCUGAUGCAGCAACGCCGUGUGCGGGAUGACGGCCUUCGGGUUGUAAACCGCUUUCGCUCAUGACGAAGCUUUGUGUGACGGUAGUGGGUAAAGAAGCACCGGCUAACUACGUG
rnacentral:rRNA from 1 species